CCUGAGCUCUAUGUUGGACCCUUUCAGC
rnacentral:piRNA from 1 species